rnacentral:rRNA from 1 species
AUUGAACGCUGGCGGCAGGCCUAACACAUGCAAGUCGAGCGGUAGCACAGGGAGCUUGCUCCUGGGUGACGAGCGGCGGACGGGUGAGUAAUGUCUGGGAAACUGCCUGAUGGAGGGGGAUAACUACUGGAAACGGUAGCUAAUACCGCAUAACGUCGCAAGACCAAAGAGGGGGACCUUCGGGCCCCUUGCCAUCAGAUGUGCCCAGAUGGGAUUAGCUAGUAGGUGGGGUAACGGCUCACCUAGGCGACGAUCCCUAGCUGGUCUGAGAGGAUGACCAGCCACACUAGAACUGAGACACGGUCCAGACUCCUACGGGAGGCAGCAGUGGGGAAUAUUGCACAAUGGGCGCAAGCCUGAUGCAGCCAUGCCGCGUGUAUGAAGAAGGCCUUCGGGUUGUAAAGUACUUUCAGCGGGGAGGAAGGUGUUGAGGUUAAUAACCUCAGCAAUUGACGUUACCCGCAGAAGAAGCACCGGCUAACUCCGUGCCAGCCGCCGCGGUAA